rnacentral:lncRNA from 1 species
GGCGGCGAUCGGGCGGGGCGGGACAAAAGCGGCGCCCAGGCUGCCGGGGUGAGUGUGAGUGUGAGAGCGAGAACAGCCCGGCAGGUCCCGAGGCGCCGGCUGGGGACUCUACGCGGAAAGUUCCCAGUCCCCAGCCGCAGGUAAUGGGGAGGGAAUUGAGAGGUUCCCCUGUUUACAUCAGCAAUUGUGAAAGCAUGAUAGCAACAGCUGCGGUAUCCUCUCCCAGGAGCGGGAUUUCCAGUGAUGCUAACAUUCUUUUUCCUUUAAGGUAUUUUCCCUGCCACUGAUCAUGGAAAGAAAUCUUCGAGAAGGGGAAAAAGUUGCACACGGGCCACCGAUCGGCAGGGAUCACCUCAUUAAGGGACUCUAAGCGAGGACAGGAUGCGGGUCGCCCUCCCGGGUGCCAGCAGCACCGGGCCUUGCGAGGCGCUUCCGAUAUCCCUGCGCCUGGUCUGGCCCAGAGCCACGCAGCGGAGGGGAGCGGGCGCUGUUUUCGGCUUUUCCCCCUGACCUUUGGAGCUCUCUCCCCGCCGCGCCCCGCCCCGCCCCGCCCCGGGAUAGACGAGGGCCCAGCGCUGGCGGCGCCGAGCCGGGAACACAAGCGGAGCCCCGAGUGUGCACCGCUGCGGGUAUCUGCCAGCACGUUUGCACGUUUGCACAUUGCAGUUCCUGUGUCCCCCCUCCUGUUCCCCGGCCUCUGGAUCGGCGUGCGCCCCGGCGGAGCCGCCCGGGUGCCUAAGGAAGCGCUUGGCUAGCUCGUGCCCACUCGCGACGCGCGGGGCCGAGCGGGGCCACGCGGCGCAUCCGCGCAGCCAGUGCCUGUGAAGUUAAAACAGCCCGAACUCUUAGUGCCCGAGAGUGGAUUGCAUGCCAAUUCUCCAAGGCAAGAUCCCUAAAUACAUAUAUUUACAGUAACUCAUGGUCUGGUCGCAAGGAACACGUUGUUUAUUCACUGAAACAGCACGAGUUCAGUGUCCUUACGCUACAGGAUACAGGAUAGGAAGGUUCCCUAGCGGCGUCCCUGUAAUGAAUGAUCCAAGAGUAACACCACCACAACCUGCGAGGAAGGCACAGUGGUUUCGGCACAGAGGUUUGUGCCCGUCCCUUCAGUCCGGGAAUUCCGAAGCGCCGGUGUCCACCGGCGUGACCGUGGAUCGGGGCGUGCUCCUGCGAGUCCGGCGAGUUCGUGUCCACCGCCUGGCCGCCCGCCCCAGAAACCUGGCUCCGGGAGAUGGGUCCUGCCUUCCAGUGGGCAGAAGGAAAGGAUGCCAGCAAAAAUGGCUAAUCCUCUUCCAGCUGCAGUAAAUUGACGACUGGCCAAAGCCAAGCGAAACCCGCUGCAGUUAAAAAGAUUUUAGCUUCACGUCUGGGGCUGAGAAUGGAGCGGCAGUAUAUAAAACGACCUGUGGAUCAAUGGAAAGGAGAUCGUAGUGUCUCCGAAUAUUAAUACGAUGUCCUCUAUACCUGCAUUGGAAUUCCCUGUGCGUUGUAACAGUGUUCCAAGAGGAAGCUUUUUAAACAUAUGAAAAUAAGAAUUGCAGAUCUUCUAAGACUCAUUCUUUUUAUACCAACUAUGUCCAAACUCCUAUGGCGUCCAAGUGGUUGCAAUGGCACCCAUGUCUUGGGUCAGUCCUGUGGCCAGUCCUGUGGCCAUAUUAAAGGAGAUAUCUUGACUGAGGAGGAUCACAGAGUAGUAAGGAGCAUAAGGAAGGAAGGACAGAAACUCCAACAGACCAAGUUCCUGAACAGUGUCCUGAGCUCCAGGCAGGGCUCUUUUUGGUUAGGAAAAGAGAAGACUCACUGAGCUCCUAGAGAAAUGAAGAGCUGGGUGUUGGCCUGGUCAGGGCUUCAGUGUCAAAUAUCUUCCUGUUGGAAGAUAGGAAACAGGAAGCAACCUGUUGGAAAGAUCGACCUGGGAUUUGUAGUGUCAUCAGCCACCUGGUUCCACACUACAAAGAUGCAGAGGACACCGGACCACCAGACCACUGUACUGGCUGGGAUUGUGAACUCUGGAAGAACACCAGAGAGACAGAUUUCAUCAUACAAUGUCAAGGAGAACAUGCUUUCUACAGACUGUGAACUCCCACAGUGUAUUUGUUGAUGGCUACUAGAGUCAGAUGUAGAAGAAUGCAAACAUCCAUCUGCUCACUGGAGAACCAAAGGAUCCAGUCACGGGCUUGGAGGCCAUGGCAAUGUCCCACGCAAGCUUAUAUGAAGGAUCUGCACCGGAAAGGCCCAAAGGCCAAUGGUGGAAGACAGAAAGUUUGUGCCAGCAGGAUGAAAGAUCUGCACUGGAAGCCAGGAGAUGAUGUCCAAGAUGAAGAUGAGGGUUGACAUCAGCCAAAGCUCCUUUCCAGACAAACCACCAAAAGCAGCUUCUUCAGGAACAUCAGGGGUAUUUACUGUAUAUUGUACUGCUUACCAUCCACUAUGAUGUCACAGAAAGCUCAAGGAAGGGAUAUCAUCCAGACUCAGUAAAUUCACAACUUGUUUUUCCCAUAAUAUGGGUAUGAAUGAGUGUAAUAAAUAAAAAAGUAUUUUAAAUGGUGUUAAUUUGAACCAACGUAAAUUGCAGAAAUCUUUCCAAAAGCUGUUUUCUUAAAGUUCCUAGUAUUUCCUCCCAUGUUUAGGAUAAGCAUACCUGCUUCUCUUUCUUUCUCUCCAUUGUCUUCUGAGAAAUGCCUAAAAUCCACAAAAGUUGAAUACACUUUAUGGUUUAUUCCUCUUCUCUUCUACUUUGAUUCUCAAUCCAUUGAGCUUAGAUUGUAGCCAAUGUAUAAAUCAAUAGGUUGUAAAUGCAAUUUACAUAGAUUAUCCUGUUGUUUUUUGGUUAUAUGGUCAAGUGUGGGCAAAGUUCAAUAGGUUCCAUUUUUUUGUUCAGUGUGAAAUACCAGAACACCAAAAGCUCUAGAAGAUUCUUAAGGAGAUAUGUAAAUCUUUGAAGAAGAUACAUGAGUACAUGUCAUACUGUUGAGCCAAUGAAAGUACAUAAAUCACAGCUGGAGAGAGUUUCUUUAAUUAGAGAAUGUCCAAUUUACCACAUGGAGAAAAGUAUCUCCUAAGUUUCUUCAUGCCUUCUCUUGGGACUCUUUGGAAUAACAAAGUAACUACUUUAUUUAAGGGAUUUUCCCUUUUAAGACCCUGCUAUUCUAGUUUCUAGAUAAUUUCAUAUUCUUGAUGAAUGUUGAUUUGUCUCUGUUAUGGCUUGUAUCUAGAUGUCCUCCAAAAGCCUCAUGAGGUCAUAGGUGGAGAGUAUCAAAGGUGGCUGGAUUAGGGUGUGUGAUAGGAUUAAGGCUGAGAUGUUGGGAUUAACGGUGCCCCACCCUGGGUGUGGGUGGCACCACCCAAAAGAUGGGUAGCCUGGUUAGAAUAUAAAGGAACAGAAAGAAGUUGCUUUGCUAUUUUGCUGCUUUGCUGCCUUCUACCUGCCCUGCUUUGCCAUGGACUAUUUCUUCUCUGUGAUGCCACUCUGCCAUGCCACCCUGUCUUGGACCCAGCUGACAAUGUACUGAAAUGUCUACAAACUGUGAGCUGAAAUAAACUUUUCUGCCUUUAACUCUGGGUGUUUGAUAUUUUGUCUCAGCAAUGAGAAAAAUAACUAAGACACAUUCCAAAUGAAUAAGUAGCUAUCUUUCCAAUUUCAUUUAAUAAGAGAAUUUGAAAUCUCUUC